AAAUAUAGUUUAUUAAAACAUCAGACUGUGAAUCUGAAAACAGGGAAUAAAACCCCUUAUUU
rnacentral:tRNA from 1 species